AUGGCAAAUUAUCCAAUCGCUCCGGCUUCGCGCCGGAGAGGAAAGUCCGGACACUUUUUCGAAAAAGGUAGCGGGUAACGCCCGUCUGGAGUAAUCCACGAGGUGCGAGCAGAGACGCUUUUUUGUGAAAACAAAAAAGCGCCCCGCGAUUCCGCAAGGAAUUUUGCAGGGCGAGCUCUUUUGGUGACAAAAGAGGUGAAACGGCUAAAUCCUUACCUGAGUGCAAGGUCGUGNNGGAGUGCCGCAUGACCCCGACGGUAACGUCGGGGCUAGAUAAAUGAUUGGGCUAGACAGAAUCCGGCUUAUAGAUUUGCCCUGAUA
rnacentral:RNase_P_RNA from 1 species